rnacentral:rRNA from 1 species
UCUCAGUACCCCGAGGAAAAGAAAUCAACCGAGAUUCCCCUAGUAGCGGCGAGCGAACGGGGAGCAGCCCAGAGUCUUAAUCAGCAUUAGCAUCAGGAGAACGGUCUGGAAAGUCCGGCAGUAAAGGGUGAUAGCCCCGUAUCCGAAGGUGUUAGUGUUGUGAACUCGACGAGUAGGGCGGGACACGUGUUAUCCUGUCUGAAUAUGGGGGGACCAUCCUCCAAGGCUAAAUACUCCUGAUUGACCGAUAGUGAACCAGUACCGUGAGGGAAAGGCGAAAAGAACCCCGGCGAGKGGAGUGAAAUAGAACCUGAAACCGUGUACGUACAAGCAGUGGGAGCCUUGAUUUAUCAGGGUGACUGCGUACCUUUUGUAUAAUGGGUCAGCGACUUAUAUUCUGUAGCAAGGUUAACCGUAUAGGGGAGCCGUAGGGAAACCGAGUCUUAACUGGGCGAAUAAGUUGCAGGGUAUAGACCCGAAACCCGGUGAUCUAGCCAUGGGCAGGUUGAAGGUUGGGUAACACUAACUGGAGGACCGAACCGACUAAUGUUGAAAAAUUAGCGGAUGACUUGUGGCUGGGGGUGAAAGGCCAAUCAAACCGGGAGAUAGCUGGUUCUCCCCGAAAGCUAUUUAGGUAGCGCCUCGUGAACUCAUCUUCGGGGGUAGAGCACUGUUUCGACUAGGGGGUCAUCCCGACUUACCAACUCGAUGCAAACUACGAAUACCGAAGAAUGUUAUCACGGGAGACACACGGCGGGUGCUAACGUUCGUCGUGAAGAGGGAAACAACCCAGACCGCCAGCUAAGGUCCCAAAGUCAUAGUUAAGUGGGAAACGAAGUGGGAAGGCUCAGACAGCCAGGAUGUUGGCUUAGAAGCAGCCAUCAUUUAAAGAAAGCGUAAUAGCUCACUGGUCGAGUCGGCCUGCGCGGAAGAUGUAACGGGGCUAAACUAUGCACCGAAGCUGCGGCAGCGA